GGGCAGGGCUCGAAAAACUCCAGCCAAUGAUUUUCAGAAACACACCUUCGAGAAAUUGACCUGUUGCGACGUCGUUACCAAGACGAACUCGGAAAAACAAACGGACUGGAUAACAAAAACAUAUGGAACAAGGCAACGGAGUCGACAGACAACCCACAACGCAUUUCGAGAAGAGGGAAUGAAUUCUCAUAAGAAAUGCUCUCUCCCCUCGCCUGAUGUUCCAUCUGACAGAGUACACCCCAGAUGUUGAUGAAGUCGCUAUACAAAUGAGCGCAAAUUAAAUAAAUAUCUAUGAAGGGAUUAUGAGUGACAGGCAUUUAAUUCCC
ensembl:lncRNA